CAUAUAUUUAUUUUCAUUCAUAUACAUAAUAUACACGGUAAUGGUAUUUUUCUGUCCCUCUCAUUUUGAGCCUUGCAUGUCUAUUAUUACCUUCUUGCAUGAAUACAAAACUCUUUGCCUCCUUCACCGCGGUAAUUAUAAUAAAAUGAAACGUUCAUAAAUACCAAUUUGUCUGAAAAACUUAAAAAUCUUUUGCAAUCAAAAGAAUCACAAGUCAUAUCUAGCGAAAUUGACACAAACUUAAAUUGCAGUAGUAUUAUAUCAAUAGAGCAGUCGCCUUUCCUUUUAAGUCUUACCAGCUUGUAUGUAGUAGGUCUCAGCGGCCCGCAGGUCCCCCGCGGCGCGGAGGUCACUGGCCGCCUUCUUCCUCGUGGCCUGCAGCAGCGCUGGUCUAUGAGCCGCCACCAACCGCAGCAUUGACUCAUACUGAGAUGCUUCCUAAUAUUUUUACAACGAUUCAGCAAAACUGAAUAGCUGCGGUGAGCGCAUCGACCGUGCGACCAGCCUCUAUGAGAUGAGGCACAGCGGCGCCCGCCUGUCGCGAAGAUACAAGCCACGCCCCCCAUUCUCCUUCUAACCUGGUCACUUCACCGGGACAGGCCUGAAGAUUAAAAAAUAAUAUAAUAAAAUUAAAAAAAAAAAACAAAAUUCAAAUAAAGAACACCAACAUCUCUUGCUAGUUGGACCGCUCUUGCGUAGUUGUUGCCUCUAGAAUAGUAAUCCACCGCAGUUCUUAUAUCACCUUUACGCUCGGAUAUUUCACCAGCCAUUUCCCACCAUUCCUCCUGCAACGGAAACAAAUUAUAAACUUAUGUAUGUAAUAAUGCAUGUCUCUUAUUAGUGAAACAAUUUUUUUUUAUAUUUAUAAAGAAUUCAAGAUCAUUAUGUAUUAGAACAAAUAUAUUUGUGAUAGUUAUAGUAAUAAAAUUGGAUAUCUAUUA